UAGAGAAUCAUCUUAAUCACAUAGAGAGUUAAUUGUUCUCUAAGUAAAAACUAAAUGGUUCAUCAACUUUUCUUCAAAUGUGACGAUUCCAACUUCUCCUCGAAAAAUAGCCCAAUAACUUUCAUCGAAUUUACAUGAAAUUGAACUUUUAGAACUUUUUUUUUCGAUAACGGUUUAAGUUGUAAAGUCUUUUGUUAUCCCGUUUUAGAUUUGUGACCAUCUAAUGGUAUUAGGAAAAAGUGGCAGUGGGUCAACUGAAUACAGAAUGAAGAUUAUCUCAAUCAUGAUGGAUUAAUUGUUUCCAAUUGAAAUCCUCAUAAUCUACUAAUCCUCUUGGCUUUUCCUUUCCUAUUGGACUGAAAAUAAUUAUCUCUUCAGAUUUAUAAGUGGAUCUUUCUGUGUAUAGAUAUUGGAUGGAGAGAUUUGUUCAACAUAUUAUAUGAAACAUUUUCGCUGUUUUUUUGUUUACCUUCAAUAGGGAAACACAAAGGAAAAAGGUAAAGGUAAUUUGAUAGAGAUUUUCAAAUCGGAUUAAAUUGUCAAAGGUUUUAGUGAGUAUUUCGUUUUUUAAGUAUCAAGUAGAGUGUCAAGUUGUGUACCUUGUGACCUAUGCUUUUUACUUCGAGUGUUGGGUCAAAGUUUUCUAACGAAUCUUGUUAAUCUGUUUCGUUUUACAGCCGAUGAAAUCAAUGACCAUCAAAGGAAGGAAAUUUGUUAAAGGGUUAAUCUAUUUGCCCGGAGGUGAAAACAAUUGAAUUUUCUUUAACAGUCUCCACCUUUAAUCACCUUCUACAAUAUGAUCACUAAUCAAUCUACUGAAGUGGACACAAUUAUCAGGAUCACUCGAGAAACUGAUGAAUACAAUUAUCAUUACUUUCGGAGGUUUUUUUUUUCUUCUUAAAUGUUGAUAAAAAAGAGUCAACGAAACAAACAAGAGGUGGGAAUACAUUUAACUGAAUAUUUAUUGUUUAUGCUUCUGAAUUGAACAAAAUUGAAUCACCCUUAAGGCUAAUCUAGUUAGUCUCUUUUCCUCUGUAUUCAGGUUACUUUAAUUACCCUUCAACUCAAUUUUCUUUCAAUGUUUACAGUCGUUUUACCCCCGUAAAAAUGUCAACACACUUUGACAACUCUAACAUCACCAAGGAGUAAAGUCACUCAUCAUUGUGAAUCAAUAUUAAACUCCAAUCAUCAUCAUUAUCAUCAUCAAUAGGAUUAAAGUUGAGAUGAUAAUAAUCAUCUUCACGAGAGAGAUGAGAAACCAAAAUAAGGAUAUACCUUUGUAGCUGUGAUUCCCAUGGUAAUAAAACAUGAGACUACCCGCUGGUUAAAAGUAACCUUAAUUGACCUGCAAUCGCCGAAAAUGGGCUAAAUUUCAUCACAAAUCAAGGUAACAUUAAUUUUGACGUUGAUCAUAAACUUUUACCUCUUAACCUUAAUAUUGCUCUUCUUUAUUUCUGUCUUCAUGUUUUUCUUAUCCCUGGAAAAAUCAACUAAUAUGAGUUCUGAUUGGGAAAAAGGAAUCAUCUUGGUGACAUUAUUAUGACAAUUUAAACGUGAAAAUAAUCAUCUAGAUCAAUAGAGACCUUUUCAUGUAUCAACAAGGCGUUUACUUUUGGACGAAACAAUAAAGGACAGAUAAUUUAAAAGAUUAUAAUGAAUAUAUUCAGUGUUUGGAUCGUGAUGAUUACAUUAAAACAACAGGGAGUGCCCAUUCUCAUCAUCACUAUCAUCAUAAUCUGAAAAUGAUGAAUCUAUUGGUGGGAAAUUAAGAUGAUGAUGAUGAUGGUUUUUUUGUUUCUUCUUCUCCCUGUUGUUGUUGACUUGGAACAUGAAGCAAGGAAAAAGCCAUGGAAUCUUUUUUUCUGAGUCCACUAGAAGUUACCACGAAUCAUCAAGAGAGAGAGAGAGAGAGAGAGAGAGAGAGAGAGAUGAAGACGAUUUUGAUGAUGAAGAUAUAAUGAAGAGUAAAAGUUGGACCAACACAAAUGAACCUUUGGAGGUCAACACAAUUUGAGGAACCUCAUCGAAUUAGAAGCCAAUAUACCGCGUUGAAGAUUGAUGCCUUUUUUGGCUUUUCUUUUCUUUCUCAUCAUAAUCGUCAUUAUCAUCAACUUUAUCAUCAUCUUCUUCUCUACUUUAUACCCUCAAUUUAACCUUAGGGUAAAAUUAGAAGACACCAAGUAUCCAUUAGAGACUUUACUCUGUGAAACCUAUUCUAUGGUAAUCAUCAUCAUCUUCAUCAUCAUCUUCAUCUCCAUCGUUAAGAUCAUCCAAAUAACCAACAAACAACUUGUACAAGAUAUUUAAUUACACAAUUAAUUACCAAUCUUAUCCCUUGAUGUUGAUCAUUGUUGUAUAAUCCAACACAUGACGAAUGAUCAAUAAUUUAAUUAGUUUGAUCCAAUUUAGAGAAAGUAAA